rnacentral:misc_RNA from 1 species
AAGUCGUAACAAGGUCUCCGUUGGUGAACCAGCGGAGGGAUCAUUGCUGGAAGCGCCGCAAGGCGCACCCAGAAACCCUUUGGUGAACUCAUACCUACAUCGUUGCCUCGGCGCUGGCUGCCCCUCCCUCCGGGGAGGGGCCCUGCCCUCCGGUCGUAAAACACCUGGGGGAAAAGGACAGCAGGCCCGCCGGUGGCCCAACAAACUCUUGUUUUUACCGAGUAACAUCUGAGUAAAGCUUCUAAAUAAAUUAAAA